rnacentral:rRNA from 1 species
GAUCAUGGCUCAGGACGAACGCUGGCGGCGUGCUUAACACAUGCAAGUCGAACGAGAAUCUAUGGAAAGAGGAUUCGUCCAAUUGAAAUAGAGGACAGUGGCGGACGGGUGAGUAACGCGUGAGGAACCUGCCUUUCAGAGGGGACGAACAGUUGGAAACGACUGCUAAUACCGCAUAACGCGUAGAGGUCGCAUGGCCUUUACGUCCAAAGAUUUAUCGCUGAAAGAUGGCCUCGCGU